rnacentral:tRNA from 1 species
GCCGAGGUAGCUCAGCUGGUAGAGCAUCCGCCUUGUAAGCGGAAGGAUCAUCGGUUCGAACCCGAUCCUCGGCU